GAUGAACGCUGGCGGCGUGCUCAACACAUGCAAGUCGAACGGAAAGGCCCAAGCUUGCUUGGGUACUCGAGUGGCGAACGGGUGAGUAACACGUGGGUGAUCUGCCCUGCACUUCGGGAUAAGCCUGGGAAACUGGGUCUAAUACCGGAUAGGACGAUGUUUUGGAUGCCAUUGUGGAAAGUUUUUUCGGUGUGGGAUGAGCUCGCGGCCUAUCAGCUUGUUGGUGGGGUAAUGGCCUACCAAGGCGUCGACGGGUAGCCGGCCUGAGAGGGUGUACGGCCACAUUGGGACUGAGAUACGGCCCAGAAUCCUACGGGAGGCAGCAGUGGGGAAUAUUGCACAAUGGGCGCAAGACUGAUGCAGCGACGCCGCGUGGGGGAUGACGGCCUUCGGGUUGUAAAAUCCUUUCGCUAGGGACGACGCGUUUUUGUGACGGUACCUGGAGAAGAAGCACCGGCUAACUACGUG
rnacentral:rRNA from 1 species